UGGGCUGGGACUCAGUGGUAGAGUGCCUGCCUUGCACACAUGAGGCACUGGGUUCGAUCCUCAGCACCAUAU
rnacentral:tRNA from 1 species